rnacentral:rRNA from 1 species
UACGUAGGGUCCGAGCGUUGUCCGGAAUUGUUGGGCGUAAAGGGCUCGUAGGCGGUUUGUCGCGUCGGGAGUGAAAUCCACUGGCUUAACUGGUGGCUUGCUUUCGAUACGGGCAGACUGGAGGUAUGCAGGGGAGAACGGAAUUCCUGGUGUAGCGGUGAAAUGCGCAGAUAUCAGGAGGAACACCGGUGGCGAAGGCGGUUCUCUGGGCAUGUCCUGACGCUGAGGAGCGAAAGUGUGGGGAGCGAACAGG